GGGAGCCUGGCGGAAUUGGUAGACGCAGCUGACUCAAAAUCAGCCGGCCACUGGUCUUGGGGGUUCAAGUCCCCCGGCUCCCA
rfam:Synechococcus sp. RS9916 scf_1100013018508 genomic scaffold, whole genome shotgun sequence.